CCAAACUUGCAACCAAGGCCACAAAGACAAAAUGCUCAACCUCAAGACGAACAAGCGAUUGCUGAUUUGCAGACGGUGGGAGAUUUUCUCACCGACAAUGUUGAAGUUACCGAGGAUGAUCCAAUCAAUGCUACAAAAAAGAGGCCUGCAAGGGGCAUAACUAAGAUGGAGGGAAUAUUCUCAAGGUCACCUGAAAUGCCAAAAAUCAAAAUUUUACUCAAUGAUCGAG